CUGCCUUGGUUUCUGUUUUUGGUGAUGUGACAUUUGCAUUGAAGGUUGGCAAUAAUAAAAACUGAUUCUCCAUGCCUAUCAUAAUUUCAGUUUUGAAUAAGGCCUCGAACAAGUUGAUACGUU